rfam:Sphingobium sp. GW456-12-10-14-TSB1 unitig_0.quiver.pilon, whole genome shotgun sequence.
GGAGACGUGGGUGAGUGGCUGAAACCAACGGUUUGCUAAACCGUCGUAGGGAUAACUCCUUACCGAGGGUUCGAAUCCCUCCGUCUCCG